GCCCCCUCUGCCGUGGCUCUUUGUAUAUCACUAAUGCCACACCGAUUUUCUUUGCAAUGUUCAAGGCAAUAAUUAAAAAUAAUACAACUCUUGGAAGACUUUGAUGGCCAUUUUCACCUACUCCAUGGCACAAAUUCAUUCGAGAAUCAUUGAUUAUAUAUUUCUCACCUAUCUUUACACUCUGAUACAUAUAAAACUUGGUAUGACUAAAAACAAAGAUAAACAACAGAUUAUUUAUUGGUUUUAUCUAGGUUCAAUGAUAGAUUCAGUGACAUUAUUUACAGACCAUGUAGAGUUGCUUUGUGAUUGAAAAUGGUUGUUACUAGAGAUGUUCUGAAACGUAAAUGUAGGUUGUUUUGGUUCAGGAAGCGUUGAUUUUUCACCACUAAGCAUAGAAACUAUGGCUGACAUGGUUGGCCUAUCUGCAGCAUUAUCCUGUACACAGAGAAGUCCAACAUUUACACAUCUGCUUACUUCUGAUGACGAAAAUGAGUCUGCCAAUGCUUCAUCUAUCAUUUGUACACCCUUACUAUCGAACCACAAUCUNACAACCUCCAUGAAAAAGCUAGAAGACUCAUGUUUUGUUUAUCAUACUGGAAGCUAUUACCCUCCCUGCCACUGACAAUUUCCAAAAUCAAGACUCCAAAGCCAAAGACAUCAGAUUUCU
rnacentral:misc_RNA from 1 species